UGCCCAUGUUCUCCACUUCUAUGGUGGUUAAGAUAUAGUUCUCUCCCACCCUGGUGUCUCACGUUCUCCACUUCUCCCCCACCCACGUUUUCCGAUUUGUCCUCUCAACGACCAUAGGCCACCCAUUAUAUAAACCCUCCACCACCCACUAUUGCCAAAUUCGUUCUAUCAAUCCUUAUUCACCAACUACCACUAUUUCACCCUGCAAUCGUCGGUUUACAUACCUUCUAGAGAGAAGCUACAAGUACUAUUGAAGAGGGCUUUGAAUCUUCCGUUGGAUUUAUCAAGUUCGUAGCCGGUAACGCCGAUUGGAAGAAUGCCCUCCGUGAAUUCGUGCGCAAAUAACAGCCCCAUUUCUCGCUUCUGUUGCAAUCGAGUUCCACAAGGACACCACCGACUCCCAACCGUCAGAUCGAACAAAGAAUUUUGGAUCACAUUAGAUCUAAAUUUUGUCAUGAAAAUGUUUUAAUAGCAAAACUUGAAUCUCGGUUACUUGGUUCAACACUACGGUUAUCGGUUGUUAUCAUUUUACGGUCUCCCGCUAUCUCAAUCUACGGUUAAAGUCACCACAGGCCCAGCUCCACCAGUUGCCAAUGGAGCCAAGUAUGAAUUAAACACACCUCCUGUAAGAAUUUCCAAGUCAAAUCUUCAAUUUCUUAUACCAUUUUUACAUAUUUUGUUAUAAACAUGAUGUGAAAUCAACUUGAGUA